rnacentral:rRNA from 1 species
GAUGAACGCUGGCGGCGUGCCUAAUACAUGCAAGUCGAGCGAACAGACGAGGAGCUUGCUCCUCUGACGUUAGCGGCGGACGGGUGAGUAACACGUGGAUAACCUACCUAUAAGACUGGGAUAACUUCGGGAAACCGGAGCUAAUACCGGAUAAUAUAUUGAACCGCAUGGUUCAAUAGUGAAAGACGGUUUUGCUGUCACUUAUAGAUGGAUCCGCGCCGCAUUAGCUAGUUGGUAAGGUAACGGCUUACCAAGGCAACGAUGCGUAGCCGACCUGAGAGGGGGAUCGCCCACACUGGAACUGAGACACGGUCAGACUCCUACGGGAGGCAGCAGUAGGGAAUCUUCCGCAAUGGGCGAAAGCCUGACGGAGCAACGCCGCGUGAGUGAUGAAGGUCUUCGGAUCGUAAAACUCUGUUAUUAGGGAAGAACAAAUGUGUAAGUAACUAUGCACGUCUUGACGGUACCUAAUCAGAAAGCCACGGCUAACUACGUG